AGUCCAUGAUGGGGAUAUAACCUCAACAUUUCCUUAAAUCGCUCUCAUGAUUCAUAGAGCAUUUGUCUAUCUUUUUAAGUAAAACUGGUUAUUUGAUUUCUCAGUAU